AGAGAUGUAUUUAAUCAUAAUAAUUGAAUUGCAAUCAAUAGGUGUUAGUUUAACCAUCUUUG
rnacentral:tRNA from 1 species